rnacentral:rRNA from 1 species
UACGAAGGGGGCUAGCGUUGUUCGGAAUUACUGGGCGUAAAGCGUGCGCAGGCGGCUUCUCAAGUCAGGGGUGAAAGCCCAGAGCUCAACUCUGGAAUUGCCUUUGAGACUGAGUGGCUUGAGUACGAGAGAGGUGAGUGGAAUUCCCAGUGUAGAGGUGAAAUUCGUAGAUAUUGGGAAGGAACACCGGUGGCGAAGGCGACUUACUGGACACAUAUUGACGCUGAGGUGGCGAAAAGCGUGGGGAGCAAACAGG